GUUAUAACAUUAAAAAGAAUUGCUGCAAUCUUACAUUAUGAAUGCUGUGUAAAGGCAAUAUGCAUUAUCUACAUAUUAGUGUAGGGACUGAUUUACAAGGUUUGCCAGACAUUAUAAUUAGCAGUGUAAUACGAAGAUCAAAUCAUUUAGGGGAAGAAACGACUUUUGAAAUAUCAUCUCUCUAAACCUUAUUCUUAAAGUUAUUGUGUUCAUUGUUUACUUGAUAAAAUGGUGACUUGUGCAUGGGUCUACACAUUUGUCUUAGAAUUGGGGAGAAGAAGUAAAGUGAGCACAAGAAAAAAAUAGAUAGGUCAUUACAUUUCAUCCUUGGAGAAUAAACAAAAGCUUUAGUAGAUAGCUGAAAGAGUUAUAUGAUCAAAUAAUACCAAAGCUGCCGCCUAUAGCCUAUUUUUGUGACAACAACAAUAGAAUCAAAUCCCAUGCCUGCAAUGGCUAUGGUUUAUAUAACUACAGUGAAUACGACGAGGAACAUGAAAACAACUCCUUAAUAAAGGGAAAGAUGUCACCAGGAAAAGCACUUGCGAGAAAUGAAACAUAUCGUUGUAUUCCACGAAGAAGACAAGGGCAACGACAGCAACUGCAGCGACAGACCAACCAGCAAACAUUGGAUUGGCAUAUGCGAGAACAGCAGAGACAGCAGAAGAAGCAACAGACAAACCAAAAAAAUUUUGCCAGGCAAAUUAGAGAUGGGAAAAGAAAAGAGCAACAACAGCAACCAUCUAACCAGCAAGUUAUGACUUCGUCUGUGAGACCCCCAGUGCAAGAAAAUGAUCGAGAGGAAAGAGGAAACUUGCCACAGUCGAACGAUGAACAGAUUAACCAACACUCUUUUGAAUGGUUACAAGAAAGUACAGGACGAAACGGCUUAUCGCCAGGGAUGCCUUUAUAGAUUUUUAUAAAGUAGACAUAUAUUUAAUGGCUAGAGAUUGGAUUAAGCGAUAUCAUUAUGAUGCUGGAAUUCAAUUUCUGAAUAUAAUGAUUGAAUUGUAAUUUUUUUCUUAUUCAUCAACGUCAAAAACCAAAAGCCAAUGAAAAAGUUACUGUUAGCAUUAACUUUGUUUUUAUGUUAAUAAUAUAAAGUACGUCAUCA